AAGAAAUGGGGGCAAGGCCAGGCAUGGUGGCUCAUGCCUAUAAUCCUAGCACCUUGGGAGGCUGAGGCGGGCAGAUCACCUGAGGUCAGAAGUUCGAGACCAGCCUGGCCAACAUGGUGAAACCCUAUCUCUACUAAAAAUAGAAAUUAGCUGGGCAUGGUGGUGCAUGCCUGUAAUCCCAGCUACUCGGGAGGCUGAGGCAGGAGAAUUGCUUGAACCUGGAAGACGGAGGUUGCAGUGAGCCAAGAUCAUGCCAUUGCACUCUAGCCUGGGUGACAGAGCAAGACUCUGUCUCAAAAAAAAAUAAAAAUAAAAAAAAGGAGGGACAAAAAUCUUAUCAGUAAUUAUAUUAAAUGGAAUGGAUUAAACACUCCAACUAAAGGACAAAUAUUGGCAGAUGGGUAAAAAAUGAUUCAACUAUAUGCUGUCUACAAGAGGUACCUUUUAGAUUCAAAGACACAAAUAGGUUGAAAGUGAAGGGAUACGAAAAGAUAUACCAGGCAAACAGUAAUCAGAAAAGAGCUAGAGUGAUUAAACUAAUAUCAGACAAAAUAGACUUUAAGAAAAAAAUCUUUACUAGAGACAAAGGAAGACAUUUUAUAGUGAUUAAAGAGUCAACAUAUCAAGAAGAUUUAACAAUGAUAAACACAUGUGCACCUAACAUAGGGUUUUAAAGUGCAUGACACAAAAACUGACAGAAUUGAAGGCAGAAAUAGACAAUUCAGCAAUAAUAGUUGUAGACUUCAAUACCUUAAUUUCAAUAAUAGAUAGACAACCAGGAAGAAGGUAAACAAGGAAACAGAAGAUAUGUGCAAU
rnacentral:lncRNA from 10 species